UUAUGACUCGCGCUUACUGGGAAUUCCUCGUUCAAGGGGAACAAUUGCAAGCCCCUAUCCCAAUCACGAAGGAAGUUCCACGGGUUACCCAGUCUUUUCAGACAGGGAUAAAGACACGCUGCUUCCUUCAGUGUAGCGCGCGUGCGGCCCCGGACAUCUAAGGGCAUCACAGACCUGUUAUUGCUCUGUUUCGUGCGGCUAGGAGCCGCUUGUCCCUCUAAGAAGGUUGUAAGGUGCUGGGAACCCCGCACCUAUUUAAUAGGCUAGAGUCUCGUUCGUUAUCGGAAUUAACCAGACAAAUCGCUCCACCAACUAAGAACGGCCAUGCACCACCAUCCACCGAAUCAAGAAAGAGCUCUCAAUCUGUCAAUCCUCCCAGUGUCCGGGCCGGGUAAGUUUUCCCGUGUUGAGUCAAAUUAAGCCGCAGGCUCCACUCCUGGUGGUGCCCUUCCGUCAAUUCCUUUAAGUUUCAGCUUUGCAACCAUACUUCCCCCGGAACCCAAAUACUUUGGUUUCCCGGAAGCUGCCCGCCGAGUCAUUUGAGUAACUCAGGCGGAUCGCUGGUUGGCAUCGUUUAUGGUCAGAACUAGGGCGGUAUCUGAUCGCCUUCGAACCUCUGACUUUCGUUCUUGAUCAAAGAAAACAUUCUUGGCAAAUGCUUUCGCAGUAGUUCGUCUUGCGACGGUCCAAGAAUUUCACCUCUAGCGCCGCAAUACGAAUGCCCCCGUCUGUCCCUCUUAAUCAUUAGCCCGUAUUCCAAAAACCAACAGAACAGAAACGGGCUCUUGUUCUAUUAUUCCAUGCAAGUUUAUUCAGGCGACUCGCCUGCGUUGAGCACUCUAAUUUUU
rnacentral:rRNA from 1 species